ACGGAAAGACCCCGUGAACCUUUACUAUAGCUUGACACUGAACAUUGAAUUUUGAUGUGUAGGAUAGGUGGGAGACUGAGAAGCGAGCACGCUAGUGCUUGUGGAGUCGACGUUGAAAUACCACCCUUUAACGUUUGAUGUUCUAACGAGGCAUCGAUUACAGGUGUUCGGACAGUGUCUGGUGGGUAGUUUGACUGGGGCGGUCUCCUCCCAAAGGAUAACGGAGGAGCACGAAGGUUUGCUAAUCACGGUCGGACAUCGUGAGGUUAGUGCAAUGGUAUAAGCAAGCUUAACUGCGAGACGGACAGGUCGGGCAGGUACGAAAGUAGGUCAUAGUGAUCCGGUGGUUCUGCAUGGAAGGGCCAUCGCUCAACGGAUAAAAGGUACUCCGGGGAUAACAGGCUGAUACCGCCCAAGAGUUCAUAUCGACGGCGGUGUUUGGCACCUCGAUGUCGGCUCAUCACAUCCUGGGGCUGAAGUAGGUCCCAAGGGUAUGGCUGUUCGCCAUUUAAAGUGGUACGCGAGCUGGGUUUAGAACGUCGUGAGACAGUUCGGUCCCUAUCUGCCGUGGGCGUAGGAGAAUUGGUUGGGGCUGCUCCUAGUACGAGAGGACCGGAGUGGACGCACCGCUGGUGUUCCGGUUGUGUCGCCAGACGCAUAGCCGGGUAGCUAAGUGCGGGAGAGAUAAGUGCUGAAAGCAUCUAAGCACGAAACUUGCCAAGAGAUGAGUUCUCCCAGACUUUAGGUCUGUAAGGGUUGUUUAAGACGAAGACGUAGAUAGGCGUGGUGUGUAAGCGUAGUGAUAUGUUGAGCUAACACGUACUAAUUGCCCGAGGGACUUAGCCAUACAACGCUCAAG
rnacentral:rRNA from 1 species